rnacentral:rRNA from 1 species
UACGAAGGGUGCGAGCGUUAAUCGGAAUUACUGGGCGUAAAGCGUGCGUAGACGGUAGCGUAAGUCAGAUGUGAAAGCCCCCGGGCUCAACCUGGGAAUGGCAAUGGAUACUGGCAGGCUAGAGUGCGGUAGAGGGUAGUGGAAUUCCCGGUGUAGCGGUGAAAUGCGUAGAGAUCGGGAGGAACACCAGUGGCGAAGGCGGCUACCUGGACCAGCACUGACACUGAGGCACGAAAGCGUGGGGAGCAAACAGG